AGACAUACACACAUCAUGGCGCCGAAAAAGGGCCUGCUGGAGCGGCUGGCGGAGGGCCCGGUCAUAGGGGACGGAGGGUUCGUGUUCGCCCUGGAGAAGCGAGGCUACGUCAAGGCCGGGCCAUGGACCCCAGAGGCCACCAUCGAGAACCCGGAAGCAGUCCGCCAGCUGCACCGGGAGUUCCUCCGAGCUGGAGCGGACGUCAUGCAAGCCUUCACCUUCUACGCCUCCGACGACAAGCUGGCAAACAGAGGAAACGACUCCAGUGAGAAGUAUACGUGUCGAGGCAUCAACGACGCCGCCUGCAGGAUAGCGCGGGAGGUGGCUGACGAAGGCGACGCCCUGGUGGCGGGGGGACUCUCCCAGACUCCUUCCUACCUCUCUGGCCUCGGCAAGGAGCACACCCAGAAAGAGUUCAAGAACCAAGUCGACGUCUUUGUUGAAAAUAAAGUCGAUUUUCUUAUCACCGAGUACUUCGAGCAUGUGGAGGAGAUCGAGUGGGCCAUCGAAGUCUGCCUGAAGACGGGGCUGCCUGUGGUAGCCACCAUGUGUAUCGGACCGGAGGGUGACCUCCACGGCGUCUCCGUCGGGGAGUGCGCCGUCAGGAUGGCCAAGGCUGGCGCUCAUGUUGUGGGUAUCAACUGCCACUUCGACCCUUUCGUGGUGUUGGAGGCUUUGAGGAAGAUGAAGAACUCUCUGGAGGCUGCCAAGCUGAAGGUGCACCUCAUCUCGCAGCCCCUCGCCUUCCACACUCCUGACGCCCACAAGCAAGGCUUCAUCGACCUCCCAGAGUUCCCCUUCGCCCUGGAGCCUCGUAUCUGCACCCGGUGGGACAUGCACAGGUACGCACGGGAGGCCUACGAGCUCGGUGUGCGCUACAUCGGUGGAUGUUGCGGGUUCGAGCCCUACCACACUCGAGCUGUGGCGGAGGAGCUGGCCAAGGAGCGACGGGGGCUGCCCAAGGCAUCCGAGAAGCAUGAGCUAUGGGCGGCGGGGCUCAAGAUGCACACCAAGCCCUGGGUCAGGGCCAGGGCGAACAGAGGCUACUGGGAGAGCCUGAAGCCCGCCUCAGGGCGGCCCUACUGCCCUACCAUGUCAGCGCCCGACGACUGGGGUGUGACCGCCGGCGACGCCAGCCUUAAGCAGCGGAAGGACGCCACCACCGACGCCGAGAUCUCUGAGCUCACCCAACGCCAGCAGAAGGCUCUCAACGGUUAAAUUAAUGAUGACUGACUAAUUAAGUUAUGAUUGGCCAAUUACCAUGUCCCCGGGGUGAGUAUGGGACAUCCUAGAGUAUUGAUCUACUCUGUUAUGGUUAAGUAGUAUAUAGAAUAUUUCCAGUUUAUAUUCAUAAUUCUCGUGUAUGCAGAGUUGUGUGUAAUGUACUUUGUGUGAUGCAAAUAGUUAUGAUUGAUUUUACUCUCUCAGAGCCACUGUUAUUUUUGUUAUAUUUCUGAAUAUUCUUGUAUGAUGUAUCAUAUAAUAAAUAGUUUUAAAGUGA
rnacentral:misc_RNA from 1 species